rnacentral:lncRNA from 1 species
AUAGUGUCUGUGGAUGUCCUUAAAUGUUACAGUAUGUUCUUAUCUCUCUGUCUUUUGGUCACAGAUGUGCAUUGUGGUCAUCAAGCUAGAGGGUGAGAGGUGUGCUCUGGAAACGCAACUCGCUAAAGUCAAGGUACAGUACUGCCAAAGAUCUCUGAUGGGCCUCUGCAUUAUGAAAAGGGUCUCAGCAUUAUGAAAAGGGCCUCAGCAUUAUGAAAAGGGCCUCAGCAUUAUGAAAAGGAUCUCCGCAUUAUGAAAAGGGCCUCAGCAUUAUGAAAAGGAUCUCCGCAUUAUGAAAAGGGCCUCAGCAUUAUGAAAAGGAUCUCCGCAUUAUGAAAAGGGCCUCAGCAUUAUGAAAAGGAUCUCCGCAUUAUGAAAAGGAUCUCCGCAUUAUGAAAAGGGUCUCCGCAUUAUGAAAAGGGUCUCUGCAUUAUGAAAAGGAUCUCCGCAUUAUGAAAAGGGCCUCAGCAUUAUGAAAAGGAUCUCCGCAUUAUGAAAAGGGUCUCCGCAUUAUGAAAAGGGUCUCCGCAUUAUGAAAAGGGCCUCAGCAUUAUGAAAAGGAUCUCCGCAUUAUGAAAAGGGCCUCAGCAUUAUGAAAAGGAUCUCCGCAUUAUGAAAAGGGUCUCAGCAUUAUUAAAAUGAUCUCUGCAUUAUGAAAAGGGUCUCAGCAUUAUUAAAAGGGUCUCCGCAUUCUGAAAAGGGUCUCCGCAUUAUGAAAAGGGCCUCAGCACUAACAGUGAACAUACUUCGUGUCUGAAUCUGACCAUAGCUUUCUUAACUGUCCUCUGUCCACUUUGCAUCCUGUGUAAUUGACAAUUGGAGGCAGGCACUCUGAGCUCCACCUUGCAGAAGCAGGAGGAAGAGAACACGAGGUUCAUGGGAAAGCUGGCUGCCAUGGAGCACCAGCAGCAGGUGGAGCAGAUGCUGAAGGAGCUGACGGACAGUAAGAACAACCUGGCCUAUGAGAAAGGGAAGCUACAGCUGUGUGAGCUGGAGGGCUGGCUAGGUGUGUCUCGUCAGGGUGGGGGCAGUGUGGCUCAGACCCUGGAGAAUAUUUUGGCCUCCCACUCCCGUCUGCAACACAACACAGAGUCUGUACAGAAGGAGGUGGGGCGACGAGAGCAGGAGCUAGCCUCACUCAGGAGAGAUGGGUAG